GAGUUUGAUCUUGGCUCAGAGUGAACGCUGGCGGCAGGCCUAACACAUGCAAGUCGAGCGGCAGCGCGGGGGCAACCCUGGCGGCGAGCGGCGGGACGGGUGAGGAACACAUCGGAAUCUACCCUGUCGUGGGGGACAACGUAGGGAAACUUACGCUAAUACCGCAUGAUCUGGAGACAGCAAAGCGGGGGACUCGCAAGGGCCUCGCGCGAUGGGAUGAGCCGAUGUCCGAUUAGCUAGUUGGCGGGGUAAGAGCCCACCAAGGCGACGAUCGGUAGCUGGUCUGAGAGGACGACCAGCCACACUGGAACUGAGACACGGUCCAGACUCCUACGGGAGGCAGCAGUGGGAAUAUUGGACAAUGGGGGCAACCCUGAUCCAGCCAUGCCGCGUGGGUGAAGAAGGCCUCGGUU
rnacentral:rRNA from 1 species